rnacentral:rRNA from 3 species
AGACCCGAAACCCGGUGAUCUAGCCAUGGGCAGGUUGAAGGUUGGGUAACACUAACUGGAGGACCGAACCGACUAAUGUUGAAAAAUUAGCGGAUGACCUGUGGCUGGGGGUGAAAGGCCAAUCAAACCGGGAGAUAGCUGGUUCUCCCCGAAAGCUAUUUAGGUAGCGCCUCGUGAAUUCAUCUCCGGGGGUAGAGCACUGUUUCGGCUAGGGGGCCAUCCCGGCUUACCAACCCGAUGCAAACUGCGAAUACCGGAGAAUGUUAUCACGGGAGACACACGGCGGGUGCUAACGUCCGUCGUGAAGAGGGAAACAACCCAGACCGCCAGCUAAGGUCCCAAAGUCAUGGUUAAGUGGGAAACGAUGUGGGAAGGCCCAGACAGCCAGGAUGUUGGCUUAGAAGCAGCCAUCAUUUAAAGAAAGCGUAAUAGCUCACUGGUCGAGUCGGCCUGCGCGGAAGAUGUAACGGGGCUAAACCAUGCACCGAAGCUGCGGCAGCGAACGUAUCACCCAAGACAACUUUACGGAGUUGACGAUUGACGGAGCGAAGCGACGUCAAAGCGUUCAUUAAAGUCGAGUUGGCUUAGGGAUACGUUCGUUGGGUAGGGGAGCGUUCUGUAAGCCUGUGAAGGUGUGUCGUGAGGCAUGCUGGAGGUAUCAGAAGUGCGAAUGCUGACAUAAGUAACGAUAAAGCGGGUGAAAAGCCCGCUCGCCGGAAGACCAAGGGUUCCUGUCCAACGUUAAUCGGGGCAGGGUGAGUCGACCCCUAAGGCGAGGCCGAAAGGCGUAGUCGAUGGGAAACGGGUUAAUAUUCCCGUACUUGGUGUUACUGCGAAGGGGGGACGGAGAAGGCUAUGUUGGCCGGGCGACGGUUGUCCCGGUUUAAGCGUGUAGGUGUGUGUUCCAGGUAAAUCCGGUUCACUUUAACACUGAGGCGUGACGACGAGGCACUACGGUGCUGAAGCAACAAAUGCCCUGCUUCCAGGAAAAGCCUCUAAGCAUCAGGUAACACGAAAUCGUACCCCAAACCGACACAGGUGGUCAGGUAGAGA